rnacentral:SRP_RNA from 1 species
AUGAGUGAGCUCCGCGAGGGGGAGCCGUGAAAUGGGUCAGGCCUGAAAUAUGGAGCAGCCCUAAGCGGGGUACUCUUGUGCGGGGCUCUCUCAUCCGCA